rnacentral:lncRNA from 1 species
CUCCCGGGCAGAGUAAGCAGAGCCCAGCGCAGAGGAGACUCAGAUGAGAAGAGCUGCCUGGAAGAGGGUUAGAGCACCAGAGGCCUGGGAAGGAAGAAUGCUCUCCAGCCUGGAUCCUUGGAUCACGGACACAGACUUGCAGAUGACUGUUCUUGCAACCUAACCUCUCUCCCAGGUUGAUUCUACAAAGCAGGGAGCGUGGAUGGGGAACCCAGAGGUGCCAGGAGAAUCAUCGCAUAUGCAACGAAGCCUUUCAAAGCCAAGUGUGGCUCUCCACCUGUUUGUUGCCAGUUCCCAAGGCCCAUGUUUGGUGGCUCACAACUGCCCACAGUUCCAGAUGCAAAGCGGCCAAUGCUCCAGCCUCCAGGCAAACCUCUGCGCCCAUUCUCACACGCAUGCGUAACUGUAGCCACCCCAAGGCUACACAGCCAGGGCUACACAGAGAAACCCUGUCUCGAAAAACCAAAAAGAAAAGAAAAAAAAAAGUCAUGAACUCUGAUUGUAGAGAACUCCUGGGAAAGGGAACCAAGAAAGAAACAGAGGGACACAAACAAGUUCUUAAACCCAUAAUGUAAAAGGAUAAUUGUUAAUAAUUAGAUAAUGUGCACACAACUAAAGAAAAACCCCAAGAGGUAUUUAUUAAAAAUAAAAUAGUUAAACUUUAUGUAUAAUGGACAUACAAUUACCAAACUUCAAGCAUGAGAUUUAUCAGUUUGAAGUGUGCAAUUUAAUAGUUUUUAGUAAGUUUACCAAAUUGCUACAAUCCAGUUUUAGAGCAGACUU